CCAUGGCUAACGACGUGACCAAAGAUCCCUCACCCAAAUCUGAUAUUGUGGAGGAUAUUUACUUAUGGAGGAGG